UUUUCCUGCUCUGCGUCUCUGGGAACUGGAACCCGCAGGACCUAGAGCCUUCUGUUGCCUGGGUGGUUCUGAUUGCUGGCAGUUCUGUAAUACAACUUUAAUCUGAGCAAUUGAGGCUGGUCCUACAUUAUCUUCAGACGUCUUGCGGAGGACUCCUGUUACCCGUUUGGUACUCAAAAGCCACACGCCACCAUCAGAAGUCACUUUUUUCUUUUUUUUUUUCCAAAGGCAGUGAUAGAUUAACCUCUCUAGAUCUAAUGGAAAAAUUAUAAUUGCAAUGCAACUUUCUAAUAAAUUGUUCAUAUAUUCAUAAUUCUGUUGCAGUCCCAAAUUGGAGAAGAGAUCUGUUAAAGCCAGGGCGUGGGAUGGGAAUCCAGCUGCUACGAGGAGUCUCUCCAGUCCCGGUGAGAGGCGAGAUGCCCGGCGGUGCUGCCGCAGUCCUGCCGUCCCUAGCACUGACUGCAGUUGGAGCUCCGUGAGAUGGUGCACUGGUGUACCAAGCCUCAGAACCACUGCUUUCUCCAGCUCAUAGGAUGCUUUUUCGAGACUGUGGAUAUGUGUAUGUGUACUGCUGUGUUGAUAAGUAAAUGCCAACGAUGGAGUUCGUUGCUUUUAUACAUCCCAAAGAGAAGUUCCUCACCGUUCAUUUUCUGUUUUCUGACCGAAAAGGCGUGUGUUUGUGAACAGUGUUCACGCAAGUUCUGCCAUCCCACUCCCACAUCAGCUUAUACCAAUGCCAGGAUGGGAGGAUUUGCCUGUGUACCUUCCCCAAAACACCCUGGUCCGCAGUGGCAUCGUCAGGGAGCAGUUCAAACGUGUCCUUUGGGCUUUGUGUAAAGCAAAUGCAGAACAAGAAAAAUCGAGAUGUUAAAUCCAUUAGAAAACAAAUUCCUUAUUGUACAGUAGUAUGGAGAUCUCUAGUCAACCUGCCAUUAAUAAUAGAUUCUUAUUUUUUUGAAUGAUCUAUUUAAAAGAACAGCAAGCAUUGUAUUUGCUAGUAAAUCUGAAGUGUUUACAUGGAAUUACUAAAUAAAUUAUUUGAUC
rnacentral:lncRNA from 1 species